ensembl:rRNA Gm22687 predicted gene, 22687
GUCUAUAGCCGUACCAACCCAAAUGCUCCUGAUCUCAGAAGCUAAGCAGGGUCGGCCUGGGUAGUCCUUGGAUGGGAGAAAGCUGACUGAACUUACUGUUGGACC